AAUAUCCGACAAUGGGGGCAACCGUGAUCCAGCCAUGCCGCGUGUGUGAAGAAGGUCCUCGGAUUGUAAUGCACUAUGAGUUGGGAGGAAGGGCUUUAGGCUAAUACCCUGCAGUUGUGACGUUACCAACAGAAAAAGCCCCGGCCAACCCUGUCCCCACAGCCGCGGUAAUACAGAGGGUGCAAGCGUUAAUCGGAAUUACUGGGCGUAAAGCGCACGUAGGUGGUUCAGUAAGAUGGGUGUGAAAGCCCCGGGCUUAACCUGGGAACUGCAUUCAUAACUGCUAAGCUAGAGUACGGUAGAGGGUAGUGGAAUUUCCUGUGUAGCGGUGAAAUGCGUAGAUAUAGGAAGGAACACCAGUGGCGAAGGCGACUACCUGGACUGAUACUGACACUGAGGUGCGAAAGCGUGGGGAGCAAACAG
rnacentral:rRNA from 1 species